rnacentral:rRNA from 1 species
ACGAACGCUGGCGGCAUGCCUAACACAUGCAAGUCGAACGGAUGUAGCAAUACAUUAGUGGCGCACGGGAUAGUAACGCGUGGGAAUCUGCCUCAUAGUUCGGAAUAACACCGGGAAACUGGUGCUAAUACCGGAUACGCCCUUCGGGGGAAAGUUUUUCGCUAUGAGAGGAGCCCGCGUUGGAUUAGCUAGUUGGUGAGGUAAUGGCUCACCAAGGCGACGAUCCAUAGCUGGUCUGAGAGGACGAUCAGCAUCACUGGGACUGAGACACGGCCCAGACUCCUACGGGAGGCAGCAGUGGGGAAUAUUGGACAAUGGGGGAAACCCUGAUCCAGCAAUGCCGCGUGGGUGAUGAAGGUCUUCGGAUUGUAAAGCCCUUUUGGCAGGGACGAUGAUGACGGUACCUGCAGAAUAAGCUCCGGCUAACUUCGU